CGGGAGUAAUUCAGAUACAUGACAAGUCUCGAAAAAUGACGGUGUCAUCACUCUACUCCCUACAUUGAUGAUGCUUUCUGAUGACUACAAGAUUAUAAGGCGAUCUUGUGGACAGAUACGGAGCACAUAUUC